rnacentral:rRNA from 1 species
AGCGAACGCUGGCGGCAGGCCUAACACAUGCAAGUCGAACGGAUCCUUCGGGAUUAGUGGCGGACGGGUGAGUAACACGUGGGAACGUGCCCUUUGGUUCGGAACAACUCAGGGAAACUUGAGCUAAUACCGGAUGUGCCCUUCGGGGGAAAGAUUUAUCGCCAUUGGAGCGGCCCGCGUCUGGUUAGCUAGUUGGUGAGGUAACGGCCCACCAAGGCGACGAUCAGUAGCUGGUCUGAGAGGAUGAUCAGCCACACUGGGACUGAGACACGGCCCAGACUCCUACGGGAGGCAGCAGUGGGGAAUCUUGCGCAAUGGGCGAAAGCCUGACGCAGCCAUGCCGCGUGAAUGAUGAAGGUCUUAGGAUUGUAAAAUUCUUUCAGCGGGGACGAUAAUGACGGUACCCGCAGAAGAAGCUCCGGCUAACUUCGUG